CACUUCCAGUACAUGAUGUUUUGAUGUGGAAUAUUGAAAAUCAAAUAAGCAAAAACCAAAACCAUGACAAGCCGGUUCUGAAGAGCCCUUCCAUUUUUGAGAAGGCUGUGGGUUUAGUUCAGCAUCUCCAGAUGUGUCACACAGAUUCAAGGGCUUUCAAGAAGUCACUUCUUUGAAGUGUUGAAGAUGGUGAAUUCUGCUAGACAGAGCGCUUGUCUAAUCAAAUUCUGCUAGACAGAGCACUUGUCUGAUCAAACCUCUUAACUCCAAGGUUUGUUCUGCAGGUCCUGAUGGUGGCACAGGCAUUAAGCAGCCCAGAGCUCGUCACUGGGGAGAGGCUGCGCACUGUGUUGUGAAGGGAGAGAUGGAAGAGGGGUUUGAACAGCGUUGUGCAGGAAUGGAAAGCUGGUAAGAGAAGAGGUUACUGCCCUUCCAAGUGCGCUGCGGAUGGGCAGCACGAUGACAGCCCAAGGAUGGCAGCAGGAGAUGCAGCACAGCCCUCUCCAGCAGCAAGGUGCAUUUAUCUGUCUUGCUAAUUCUUGAAGUAGGUGUGUUUAGUUUCCAAAGUCGGUGGCAAGAUAGCAUGUUCUGAAGGCUUUGAGGCUUUUCCUCUGUUAUUCACAUCCUAAGGCAGUGAAGGACUUCCCUUGCUGUGUAGGAAUGGUUCCCGUGCAAGGACAUGGUCGUCUGCCUGGAACAGAUACUGAAGGCAGGAGACGGGCAGCGGUACUGCAGCUCCUCUGGCAGUUUUGCAGCUACGUCAGGAAGCAGAAGAUGUGGAUUGG